rnacentral:rRNA from 1 species
UAACUCGUGGACGUGGAUAACCUCGGGAAACUGAGAAUAAACCACGAUAGAUCAUAGUGCCUGGAAUGGCUUAUGGUCCAAACAGUUUACUGCCAUGGGAUGGGACUGCGGCCUAUCAGCUUGUUGGUGAGGUAAUGGCCCACCAAGGCGAUUACAGGUACGGGCUCUGAGAGGAGAAGCCCGGAGAUGGGUACUGAGACACGGACCCAGGCCCUAUGGGGCGCAGCAGGCGAGAAACCUUAGCAAUGUGCGAAAGCACGACUGGGUCAGUCCGAGUGAUUCCUGAUAAAGGAGUCUUUUGCCUGUCCUAAAAGCACAGGUGAAUAAGGGGUGGGCAAGUCUGGUGUCAGCCGCCGCGGUAAUACCAGCACCUCGAGUGGUCAGGACGUUUAUUGGGCCUAAAGCAUCCGUAGCCGGCUUUGCAAGUCUUCGGUUAAAUCCACCUGCUCAACAGAUGGGCCGCUGGAGAUACUACAGAGCUAGGGAGUGGGAGAGGCAGACGGUAUUCAGUGGGUAGGGGUAAAAUCCUCUGAUCCAUUGAGGACCACCAGUGGCGAAGGCGGUCUGCCAGAACACGUUCGACGGUGAGGGAUGAAAGCUGGGGGAGCAAACCGGAUUAGAUACCCGGGUAGUCCCAGCUGUAAACGACGCAAACUCGGUGAUGCAUUGGCUUAUGGCCAAUGCAGUGCCGCAGGGAAGCCGAGAAGCGAGCCGCCUGGGAAGUACGUCCGCAAGGAUGAAACUUAAAGGAAUUGGCGGGGGAGCACUACAACCGGAGGAGCCUGCGGUUUAAUUGGAUUCAACGCCGGA